CCUACGGGGCGCAGCAGUAGGGAAUUUUCGUCAAUGGGCGCAAGCCUGAACGAGCAAUGCCGCGUGAACGAGGAAGGUCUUCGGAUCGUAAAACUCUGUUGUAGGGGAAAAAGAGCGGAGAGAGUAAAUGUUCUCCUUUUGAUGUUACCCUUCGAGGAAGUCACGGCUAACUACGUGCCAGCAGCCGCGGUAAUACGUAGGUGGCAAGCGUUAUCCGGAAUUAUUGGGCGUAAAGGGAGCGU
rnacentral:rRNA from 1 species